rnacentral:rRNA from 1 species
AGUGAACGCUGGCGGUAGGCCUAACACAUGCAAGUCGAACGGCAGCACAGUAAGAGCUUGCUCUUACGGGUGGCGAGUGGCGGACGGGUGAGGAAUACAUCGGAAUCUACUUUUUCGUGGGGGAUAACGUAGGGAAACUUACGCUAAUACCGCAUACGACCUACGGGUGAAAGCAGGGGAUCUUCGGACCUUGCGCGAUUGAAUGAGCCGAUGUCGGAUUCGCUAGUUGGCGGGGUAAAGGCCCACCAAGGCGACGAUCCGUAGCUGGUCUGAGAGGAUGAUCCGCCACACUGGAACUGAGACACGGUCCAGACUCCUACGGGAGGCAGCAGUGGGGAAUAUUGGACAAUGGGCGCAAGCCUGAUCCAGCCAUACCGCGUGGGUGAAGAAGGCCUUCGGGUUGUAAAGCCCUUUUGUUGGGAAAGAAAAGCAGCAGGUUAAUACCCCGCUGUUCUGACGGUACCCAAAGAAUAAGCACCGGCUAACUUCGUG